rnacentral:rRNA from 1 species
UACGGAGGGGGCUAGCGUUGUUCGGAAUUACUGGGCGUAAAGGGCUCGUAGGCGGCCAACUAAGUCAGACGUGAAAUCCCUCGGCUUAACCGGGGAACUGCGUCUGAUACUGGAUGGCUUGAGUUUGGGAGAGGGAUGCGGAAUUCCAGGUGUAGCGGUGAAAUGCGUAGAUAUCUGGAGGAACACCGGUGGCGAAGGCGGCAUCCUGGACCAAUACUGACGCUGAGGAGCGAAAGCCAGGGGAGCAAACGGG